GAUGAACGCUGGCGGCGUGCCUAAUACAUGCAAGUCGAGCGAACAGACGAGGAGCUUGCUCCUCUGACGUUAGCGGCGGACGGGUGAGUAACACGUGGAUAACCUACCUAUAAGACUGGGAUAACUUCGGGAAACCGGAGCUAAUACCGGAUAAUAUAUUGAACCGCAUGGUUCAAUAGUGAAAGACGGUUUUGCUGUCACUUAUAGAUGGAUCCGCGCCGCAUUAGCUAGUUGGUAAGGUAACGGCUUACCAAGGCAACGAUGCGUAGCCGACCUGAGAGGGUGAUCGGCCACACGGGAACUGAGACACGGUCAAGACUCCUACGGGAGGCAGCAGAAGGGAAUCUUCCGCAAUGGGCGAAAGCUUGACGGAGCAACGCCGCGUGAGUGAUGAAGGUCUUCGGAUCGUAAAACUCUGUUAUUAGGGAAGAACAAAUGUGUAAGUAACUAUGCACGUCUUGACGGUACCUAAUCAGAAAGCCACGGCUAACUACGUG
rnacentral:rRNA from 1 species